UACGUAGGGGCCGAGCGUUGUCCGGAGUUACUGGGCGUAAAGCGCGCGCAGGCGGUGUGCUAAGCCCGGCGUGAAAGCCCCCGGCUCAACCGGGGAGGGUCGUCGGGGACUGGCAGACUUGAGGGCGGCAGGGGCUGGUGGAAUCCCCGGUGUAGUGGUGAAAUGCGUAGAGAUCGGGGGGAACACCCGUGGCGAAGGCGGCCAGCUGGGCCGACUCUGACGCUGAGGCGCGAAGGCGUGGGGAGCGAACGGG
rnacentral:rRNA from 1 species